UUAGGACGAACGCUGGCGGCGUGCCUAAUACAUGCAAGUCGAACGGUCUUUCUAUGGAAGCUUGCUUCCACUGAGAAGAUAGUGGCGAACGGGUGAGUAACACGUGGGUAACCUGCCCAUAAGAGGGGGAUAACAUCCGGAAACGGGUGCUAAUACCGCAUAGUUUUCUUGAUCGCAUGAUUGGGAAAGGAAAGACGGCCUUUGUGCUGUCGCUUAUGGAUGGACCCGCGGCGUAUUAGUUAGUUGGUGAGGUAACGGCUCACCAAGACGAUGAUACGUAGAACCGACCUGAGAGGGUGAUCGGCCACAUUGGGACUGAGACACGGCCCAAACUCCUACGGGAGGCAGCAGUAGGGAAUCUUCCGCAAUGGACGAAAGUCUGACGGAGCAACGCCGCGUGAGUGAAAGAAGGUUUUCGGAUCGUAAACUCUGUUGUCAGAGAAGAACAAGUUGGAGAGUAACUGCUCCAGCCUUGACGGUAUCUGACCAGAAAGCCACGGCUAACUACGUGCCAGCCGCCGC
rnacentral:rRNA from 1 species